rnacentral:rRNA from 1 species
GGGUUGUGAGGUUAAGCGACUAAGCGUACACGGUGGAUGCCCUGGCAGUCAGAGGCGAUGAAGGGCGUGCUAAUCUGCGAUAAGCGCCGGUAAGGUGAUAUGAACCGUUAUAACCGGCGAUACCCGAAUGGGGAAACCCAGUGUGAUUCGUCACACUAUCAUUAACUGAAUCCAUAGGUUAAUGAGGCGAACCGGGGGAACUGAAACAUCUAAGUACCCCGAGGAAAAGAAAUCAACCGAGAUUCCCCCAGUAGCGGCGAGCGAACGGGGAGGAGCCCAGAGCCUGAAUCAGCAUGUGUGUUAGUGGAAGCGUCUGGAAAGGCGCGCGAUACAGGGUGACAGCCCCGUACACAAAAGCGCAUGUGCUGUGAGCUCGAUGAGUAGGGCGGGACACGUGGUAUCCUGUCUGAAUAUGGGGGGACCAUCCUCCAAGGCUAAAUACUCCUGACUGACCGAUAGUGAACCAGUACCGUGAGGGAAAGGCGAAAAGAACCCCGGCGAGGGGAGUGAAAAAGAACCUGAAACCGUGUACGUACAAGCAGUGGGAGCACAGGUUUACCUGUGUGACUGCGUACCUUUUGUAUAAUGGGUCAGCGACUUAUAUUCUGUAGCAAGGUUAACCGUAUAGGGGAGCCGGAGGGAAACCGAGUCUUAACCGGGCGUUAAGUUGCAGGGUAUAGACCCGAAACCCGGUGAUCUAGCCAUGGGCAGGUUGAAGGUUGGGUAACACUAACUGGAGGACCGAACCGACUAAUGUUGAAAAAUUAGCGGAUGACCUGUGGCUGGGGGUGAAAGGCCAAUCAAACCGGGAGAUAGCUGGUUCUCCCCGAAAGCUAUUUAGGUAGCGCCUCGUGAAUUCAUCUCCGGGGGUAGAGCACUGUUUCGGCUAGGGGGCCAUCCCGGCUUACCAACCCGAUGCAAACUGCGAAUACCGGAGAAUGUUAUCACGGGAGACACACGGCGGGUGCUAACGUCCGUCGUGAAGAGGGAAACAACCCAGACCGCCAGCUAAGGUCCCAAAGUCAUGGUUAAGUGGGAAACGAUGUGGGAAGGCCCAGACAGCCAGGAUGUUGGCUUAGAAGCAGCCAUCAUUUAAAGAAAGCGUAAUAGCUCACUGGUCGAGUCGGCCUGCGCGGAAGAUGUAACGGGGCUAAACCAUGCACCGAAGCUGCGGCAGCGAACGUAUCACCCAAGACAACUUUACGGAGUUGACGAUUGACGGAGCGAAGCGACGUCAAAGCGUUCAUUAAAGUCGAGUUGGCUUAGGGAUACGUUCGUUGGGUAGGGGAGCGUUCUGUAAGCCUGUGAAGGUGUGUCGUGAGGCAUGCUGGAGGUAUCAGAAGUGCGAAUGCUGACAUAAGUAACGAUAAAGCGGGUGAAAAGCCCGCUCGCCGGAAGACCAAGGGUUCCUGUCCAACGUUAAUCGGGGCAGGGUGAGUCGACCCCUAAGGCGAGGCCGAAAGGCGUAGUCGAUGGGAAACGGGUUAAUAUUCCCGUACUUGGUGUUACUGCGAAGGGGGGACGGAGAAGGCUAUGUUGGCCGGGCGACGGUUGUCCCGGUUUAAGCGUGUAGGUGUGUGUUCCAGGUAAAUCCGGUUCACUUUAACACUGAGGCGUGACGACGAGGCACUACGGUGCUGAAGCAACAAAUGCCCUGCUUCCAGGAAAAGCCUCUAAGCAUCAGGUAACAUCAAAUCGUACCCCAAACCGACACAGGUGGUCAGGUAGAGAAUACCAAGGCGCUUGAGAGAACUCGGGUGAAGGAACUAGGCAAAAUGGUGCCGUAACUUCGGGAGAAGGCACGCUGACACGUAGGUGAAGUGAUUUACUCACGGAGCUGAAGUCAGUCGAAGAUACCAGCUGGCUGCAACUGUUUAUUAAAAACACAGCACUGUGCAAACACGAAAGUGGACGUAUACGGUGUGACGCCUGCCCGGUGCCGGAAGGUUAAUUGAUGGGGUCAGCGCAAGCGAAGCUCCUGAUCGAAGCCCCGGUAAACGGCGGCCGUAACUAUAACGGUCCUAAGGUAGCGAAAUUCCUUGUCGGGUAAGUUCCGACCUGCACGAAUGGCGUAAUGAUGGCCAGGCUGUCUCCACCCGAGACUCAGUGAAAUUGAACUCGCUGUGAAGAUGCAGUGUACCCGCGGCAAGACGGAAAGACCCCGUGAACCUUUACUAUAGCUUGACACUGAACAUUGAGCCUUGAUGUGUAGGAUAGGUGGGAGGCUUUGAAGUGUGGACGCCAGUCUGCAUGGAGCCGACCUUGAAAUACCACCCUUUAAUGUUUGAUGUUCUAACGUGGACCCGUAAUCCGGGUUGCGGACAGUGUCUGGUGGGUAGUUUGACUGGGGCGGUCUCCUCCUAAAGAGUAACGGAGGAGCACGAAGGUUGGCUAAUCCUGGUCGGACAUCAGGAGGUUAGUGCAAUGGCAUAAGCCAGCUUGACUGCGAGCGUGACGGCGCGAGCAGGUGCGAAAGCAGGUCAUAGUGAUCCGGUGGUUCUGAAUGGAAGGGCCAUCGCUCAACGGAUAAAAGGUACUCCGGGGAUAACAGGCUGAUACCGCCCAAGAGUUCAUAUCGACGGCGGUGUUUGGCACCUCGAUGUCGGCUCAUCACAUCCUGGGGCUGAAGUAGGUCCCAAGGGUAUGGCUGUUCGCCAUUUAAAGUGGUACGCGAGCUGGGUUUAGAACGUCGUGAGACAGUUCGGUCCCUAUCUGCCGUGGGCGCUGGAGAACUGAGGGGGGCUGCUCCUAGUACGAGAGGACCGGAGUGGACGCAUCACUGGUGUUCGGGUUGUCAUGCCAAUGGCACUGCCCGGUAGCUAAAUGCGGAAGAGAUAAGUGCUGAAAGCAUCUAAGCACGAAACUUGCCCCGAGAUGAGUUCUCCCUGAGACUUAGAGUCUCCUGAAGGAACGUUGAAGACGACGACGUUGAUAGGCCGGGUGUGUAAGCGCAGCGAUGCGUUGAGCUAACCGGUACUAAUGAACCGUGAGGCUUAACCUUACAACGCCGAAG